AUGUCUUCCUCCUCUUCCUCCCACGCCAUGGCCAUGCCCUCCCUCGCCUCCCUCGGCCACACCAUCACCGAAAAGCUUACCCGCGAAAAUUUUCUGGUGUGGAAGGCUCAAGUGCUCCCGCAUGUCAAGGCCGCGGCGAUGACGGGCUACCUUGACGGCUCGAUCAAGGAGCCCGCCACUGUCAUCAUCACCGAGAAGGACAACACUGGGAAGAAGGAGAUCACCGAGGCGCCCAACCCAGAACACGCGAUCUGGGUCACUCAAGAUCAGCAGGUGCUUACCUUCUUGCUCGCCUCUCUAUCCCGCGAGGUUUUGAUGCAGGUGUCCAACCACACCACCGCCUCAGGAGUCUGGCAAGCCCUGGUGGAAAGCUUUUCUGCCUAG
rnacentral:rRNA from 1 species